ACAGUUUAUUUUUGUAUAGCCCAAAAUCACACAGGAAGUGCCACAAUGGGCUUUAACAGGCCCUACUUCUUGACAGCCCCCCAGCCUUGACUCUCUAAGAAGACAAGGAAAAACUCCCAAAAAAACCUUGUAGGGAAAAAUGGAAGAAACCUUGGGAAAGGCAGUUCAAAGAGAGACUCCUUUCCAGGUAGGUUGGGCGUGCAGUGGGUGUCAAAAGAAGCGGGUCAAUACAAUACAAUACACAGAACAGAACAAAUCCUCAAUACAGUAUAAAAUAAAAAAAGUACGGAGCAGAAUUUAACAGUAGAUGAUAUCACAUAAUAAGAUUUGGAUAUUUUUAGAGUCCUGGAGACCUCAUGCAUCAAGCUGCCUCCUCAUUUGGCCAUUCCACGGCUGAAACAGUGUUGGGCCAGCCAGUCCGAUGAAAGGACCCCUCUUUCCCAUGAUUCCUGUGAUCCUCCAUCAGGGAUGACUUUA